UUAAAGCUGUACUUUUACUUGUACUUAAAGUACAAAUUAAGCAAAAUAAUCUACUUCAUUACUUUUAAAUCACAGUUCGUUACUGAGUACGCCCACAAUUUGAAUUGAUAUUCAAACUUUUGAAGGCACUUCAGCAGCCAAUAAAGAUAUCCGAUCGUAAAGGGACCAAUAAAAGCGCUGAUAUCUGAACCUGGAAUAGCGCCGCUGCAGCAGGUGUCAGGUGAAGAGCUGAUCAGACAGUGACGGAGCUCAGCGUCAUUUAUGGACUCAGAGCUUGGAGAAACAAACUACAUGUAUCUGAAUAUACACAGAUACAAUCUGCGUCUCUCUCUCCUCUCCGAGUGAGUUUGACGGUCAUCCGUCUCCUGUCAAUUACAGUCUGAAUAUCUGCGCGGGAUUGCAGGUAUUCCGCAUAAUUUUAAUAAUUCCCGCGCAAAUGUGGCGAGCGCUUUAUUGUAACAUGAGAACGCUGUCAUGUAAUCGCAGAAAACUGGAUGCGAUAUCUCAAAAUAGGACUAACUUAUACAAAUGAACUGCUUGUGCGCAGACUGUGUGCAGUCGCGAUCUCUCUGUGCUUUUAAAGUAGAAAUUAUUUCUCUGUGCUCCUGGAUUAAACUUUGUCAAAAGUUAUCAAACAUUCAGAAUAGAUCCACACCUGACUGAUGAAUAUCCUUCUAGAAAUGUUAUUGGUUGUAAGUGGAAUGCACCAGAAAGUCUUUAAACAAAGAUGAAACUUUAAUUUCUUUACCACGUACAUUUGUGCUAGAAAUGUGUUUGAAUAGGAUAUUUGUCUGAUUUGUAGGCUACAUAUUAAUAUCGUAGUCUGCCUAACUGCAUCACUUCAUUGUACAGUCAUUACAGGUCAAAGCCAUCUGAUGUUCAAUUUAUCCACAAAAAUAGGCC